AGUGAACGCUGGCGGUAGGCCUUACACAUGCAAGUCGAACGGCAACAGAGUAUGGGAUGGUGAUGAGGGGCGAAGGGGGGAGUAAUAGAGCGGAAUGUGCCCAGACGUGGGGGAUAAUGGGGGGAAAGGUUGGCUAAUACACCAUACGAUCGAAUGCGGAAAACAGGGGAAAGCAGGGCAUCGUGGGAUCGGGGCGGACGAAGGGAGCCGAUGUCGGAUUAGGUAGUUGGGGGGGUAAAGGCCUACCAAGGCGACGAUCUGUAGCUGGUCUGAGAGGAUGACCAGCCACACUGGAACUGAGACACGGCCCAGACUCCUACGGGAGGCAGCAGUGGGGAAUUUUGGACAAUGGGCGCAAGCCUGAUCCAGCCAUGCCGCGUGCAGGAUGAAGGCCUUCGGGUUGUAAACUGCUUUUGUACGGAACGAAAAGGCUCUGGCUAAUACCUCGGGCACCUGACGGUACCGUAAGAAUAAGCACCGGCUAACUACGUG
rnacentral:rRNA from 1 species